UCGAGGAUCUUCGGCAAUGGGCGCAAGCCUGACCGAGCGACGCCGCGUGUGCGAUGAAGGCCUUCGGGUUGUAAAGCACUGUCGAGGGGGAGGAAGCCGCAAGGUUGACCUAUCCCUGGAGGAAGCACGGGCUAAGUUCGUGCCAGCAGCCGCGGUAAGACGAACCGUGCGAACGUUGUUCGGAUUCACUGGGCUUAAAGGGCGCGUAGGCGGCUUGCCAAGUCAGGGGUGAAAUCCUCCGGCUUAACCGGAGAAGUGCUUUUGAUACUGGCGAGCUUGAGGGAGGUAGGGGCAGGCGGAACUUCCGGUGGAGCGGUGAAAUGCGUAGAUAUCGGAAGGAACGCCGGUGGCGAAAGCGGCCUGCUGGACCUCUUCUGACGCUGAGGCGCGAAAGCCAGGGGAGCGAACGG
rnacentral:rRNA from 1 species